rnacentral:rRNA from 1 species
GAUGAACGCUGGCGGCGUGCCUAAUACAUGCAAGUCGAGCGAACAGACGAGGAGCUUGCUCCUCUGACGUUAGCGGCGGACGGGUGAGUAACACGUGGAUAACCUACCUAUAAGACUGGGAUAACUUCGGGAAACCGGAGCUAAUACCGGAUAAUAUAUUGAACCGCAUGGUUCAAUAGUGAAAGACGGUUUUGCUGUCACUUAUAGAUGGAUCCGCGCCGCAUUAACUAGUUGGUAAGGUAACGGCUUACCAAGGCAACGAUGCGUAGCCGACCUGAGAGGGUGAUCGGCCACACUGGAACUGAGACACGGUCCAGACUCCUACGGGAGGCAGCAGUAGGGAAUCUUCCGCAAUGGGCGAAAGCCUGACGGAGCGACGCCGCGUGAGUGAUGAAGGUCUUCGGAUCGUAAAACUCUGUUAUUAGGGAAGAACAAAUGUGUAAGUAACUAUGCACGUCUUGACGGUACCUAAUCAGAAAGCCACGGCUAACUACGUG